CAUCCUGGAAACAUAUUCGUAAGAAGAAGAGACCCCUCUCUAGAUAAAAAAAGAUGGGACGGAAGAAAGAAAAAAGGAGUUGUGGAACUUGUCUUGUUGGAUCAUGGUCUUUAUUCUUCUCUUUCUGAUCAGUUUAGAAUUCGUUACUGUGCUCUUUGGAAGGCUGUUGUUUCUUCUGAUAUUGAGGGAAUUCGAAAAACAAG
rnacentral:ribozyme from 13 species